GUACACGCUGUGACUAGCAUAUCAAUAAGCGGAGGAAAAGAAACUAACAAGGAUUCCCCUAGUAACGGCGAGUGAAGCGGGAAGAACUCAAAUUUGAAAUCUUAAAGGGUUUCCCUUUACGAAUUGUAGUUUAAAGAAGUGUUUUCUGUUGAGGUUUUGGUAAAAGUUCUUUGGAAUAGGACAUCAUAGAGGGUGAGAAUCCCGUAUUUGACCUUUACUUUCAACUUUGUGAUACACUUUCAAAGAGUCGGAUUGUUUGGGAAUGCAGUCCAAAAUGGGUGGUAAAUUUCAUCUAAAGCUAAAUAUUGGCGAGAGACCGAUAGCGAACAAGUACCGUGAGGGAAAGAUGAAAAGAACUUUGAAAAGAGAGUUAAACAGUACGUGAAAUUGUCAAAAGGGAAGCGUUUGACACCAGUGUUGUUUUUCUGAAAAUCAAUUAAAGAACUGUUUAUGCUAAGCUGUUUAGACUUUAUCAGCUAUCUGUUUAGUUUUGAGCUUUUCUUUAAUGCACUUUUCAGUUAACAAGUCAACAUCAAUUUCUUUUGCUGUAAAAAAGCUUGAGGAAGGUGGCUUGAGAUUCGUCUUAAGUGUUUAUAGCCUCUUGCCUAUGCAGUCGGAGAGAUUGAGGUCUGCAGCGUAGAUCCUUCGGGGCUAAAUGCAUUUGUGCUAAGUUAUAGCAUUUUAUAGACAACUUGUUGACUAUGAUUUGUCUUGUAGCUUACUCGCUUAUGUUAUUUUACCUACGCUUAGGAUGUUGAGUCGUAGAGCACGCAG
rnacentral:rRNA from 1 species